UACGUAUGGGGCAAGCGUUAUCCGGAUUUACUGGGUGUGAAGGGAGCGCAGGCGGCCUGGCAAGCCUGAUGUGAAAUACCGGGGCCCAACCCCGGGGCUGCAUUGGGAACUGCCAGGCUGGAGUGCCGGAGAGGCAGGCGGAAUUCCUAGUGUAGCGGUGAAAUGCGUAGAUAUUAGGAGGAACACCAGUGGCGAAGGCGGCCUGCUGGACGGUGACUGACGCUGAGGCGCGAAAGCUGGGGGAGCGAACAGG
rnacentral:rRNA from 1 species